UACGUAGGGUGCGAGCGUUGUCCGGAAUUACUGGGCGUAAAGAGCUUGUAGGUGGUUUGUCGCGUUGUUCGUGAAAUCUCACGGCUCAACUGUGAGCGUGCGGGCGAUACGGGCAGACUAGAGUACUGCAGGGGAGACUGGAAUUCCUGGUGUAGCGGUGGAAUGCGCAGAUAUCAGGAGGAACACCGGUGGCGAAGGCGGGUCUCUGGGGCAGUAACUGACGCUGGAGAAG
rnacentral:rRNA from 1 species